GUAGGGACCAAGCGUUAUCCGGGAAUUAUUGGGGCGUAAAGGGUGCGUAGGCGGCCAUAUAAGUCUAAGUUAAAAGCCCACAGCUUAACUGUGGGAAGGUGCUUAGAAACUGUAUGGCUUGAAUUCAGAAGAGGCAAGUGGAAUUCUAUGUGGAGCGGUGGAAUGCGUAGAUAUAUGGAGGAACACCAGUGGCGAAGGCGGCUUGCUGGGCUGAUAUUGACGCUGAUGCACGAAAGCGUGGGGAGCAAACAGGAUUAGAUACCCUGGUAGUCCACGCCGUAAACGAUGAGUACUAAGUGUUGGAGAAAUUCAGUGCUGAACUUAACAGAUUAAGUACUCCGCCUGGGGAUUACGACCGCAAGGUUG
rnacentral:rRNA from 1 species